AAAUUGUUUUGGGGACAAUUUAUUAUUAAUCCUUUGUAUCACUCUCAUGCUUCGUAGGGUGACUCACCCGGUUGUUGAUCGAAAUUUGCUAUGUCCUUCUUCAGUUU